rnacentral:pre_miRNA from 1 species
AAUAAGCGCAGUUGUGGGUUUUAGUGUCCAACUUUGACCGUCCGUCUUAUUUGAAAUUUUUUAUUACUAUUUUUAUUGUUAUUAGAUGAUAAAAUAUAAAUAUUACUUUAUGCGUGACUUAAUUUUUUAAAAAAAUUCAUAAAUUUUUCAAAUAAGACGGAUGGUCAAACGUUGGACACGGAAACUUACGGCUGCACUUAAA